GACGAACGCUGGCGGCGUGCCUAAUACAUGCAAGUAGAACGCUGAAGAGAGGAGCUUACUCUUCUUGGAUGAGUUGCGAACGGGUGAGUAACGCGUAGGUAACCUGCCUUGUAGCGGGGGAUAACUAUUGGAAACGAUAGCUAAUACCGCAUAACAAUGGAUGACACAUGUCAUUUAUUUGAAAGGGGCAAUUGCUCCACUACAAGAUGGACCUGCGUUGUAUUAGCUAGUAGGUGAGGUAAUGGCUCACCUAGGCGACGAUACAUAGCCGACCUGAGAGGGUGAUAGGCCACACUGGGACUGAGACACGGCCCAGACUCCUACGGGAGGAAGCAGUAGGGAAUCUUCGGCAAUGGGGGCAACCCUGACCGAGCAACGCCGCGUGAGUGAAGAAGGUUUUCGGAUCGUAAAGCUCUGUUGUAAGUCAAGAACGGGUGUGAGAGUGGAAAGUUCACACUGUGACGGUAGCUUACCAGAAAGGGACGGCUAACUACGUG
rnacentral:rRNA from 1 species